AGAGUUUGAUCAUGGCUCAGGAUGAACGCUAGCUACAGGCUUAACACAUGCAAGUCGAGGGGAAACGAUAUUGGAAGCUUGCUUCCGAUAGGCGUCGACCGGCGCACGGGUGAGUAACGCGUAUCCAACCUGCCCACCACGGGGGGGUUGGGAUAACCUUGCGAAAGUAAGACUGAUACCCAAUGAUAUCUCUAGAAGACAUCUGAAAGAGAUUAAAGAUUUAUCGGUGAUGGAUGGGGAUGCGUCUGAUUAGCUUGUUGGCGGGGUAACGGCCCACCAAGGCGACGAUCAGUAGGGGUUCUGAGAGGAAGGUCCCCCACAUUGGAACUGAGACACGGUCCAAACUCCUACGGGAGGCAGCA
rnacentral:rRNA from 1 species